rnacentral:rRNA from 1 species
UACGGAGGGGACUAGCGUUGUUCGGAAUUACUGGGCGUAAAGGGCGCGUAGGCGGUUUGCUAAGUUGGAUGUGAAAACUCUGGGCUUAACCCAGAGCCUGCAUCCAAAACUGGCAAACUUGAGUACUGGAGGGGAAAGCGGAAUUCCUGGUGUAGCGGUGAAAUGCGUAGAUAUCAGGAGGAACACCGGUGGCGAAGGCGCUUUCUGGACAGUAACUGACGCUGAGGCGCGAAAGCUAGGGGAGCAAACAGG